AUCUUGUUGUGUAUUAUACAUAGAAAUAAGUGCCGAAACGAGCUGCUCUGUUCCUUUUUUUUGCUUUUAUCAUUUUUCCACUUCGAUUACAUAUGUAUAAUAUCGUUUUCUUCUUGUAUGAUCAUAAUAAUAAUAAUGAUAAUGAUAAUAAUAUAAUAAUAAUAAUAAUAAGAAAAAAGGGGGUCAUGCGACUCGAAUGCCGUAUGCGAUGUUUUCUGUUUUUUAUGUACUUACUAACUUUUUUUUCUUCUCUAUCUUAUUUCCAUAAAAUCAUUUCGCUUUUAAUUAAAUUUCCAUUUCUGAAUUCCAUUUUCCUAACAGCACAUACUUUCACACUUUUAAAUUCGUUGGGUGCUGGUUUGAACCGUGCAGGUCCGUAAAUCAAUAAAUAAAUAGAGGAACAACAUUUAUCAAACAUUUUUUUUCUUAUAACAACAUUAGAGGCUCUUGGAACAUAACGCAACAAAUGUUCAACAAUACAAUCACGAAAACAAAUAGAAGGCACUCUUACAUUUUUUUAUCAACAAAUUAAUUUCUUUUCGUAACGACUCACGGGUAAUCUAUGCGUUCUAGGCCUUUAUCGUUUCGUCUAC